GCAGGUAUAGCUCAAGUGGUAGAGCACAUGCUUAGCAUCCACGAGGUCCUGGGUUCAAUCCCCAGUACCUCCU
rnacentral:tRNA from 1 species